AUGAUUUCCGGACUAUUUCUGGCCAAUGAGCUGAUUCCACAUGCGGAGCAGCAGUGAGUGAGCCACAUUCAAUAAAACGAGUAGCGCUGCAGAGAGUAGCCACUGACGAGAACUGCAACAUAGGGACAUAAGCAGAGCAGAACUGUGGUACGACUGCGGUAGAGAAUAAGUACGGGGCUUCUGCUGCAGACUGUGGGAAAUAAGUGGAACAUCUUAGCACAGUGGCUCGGGGGGGUCGUUUCUUAAAUUGGUACAGUAACAAUUAAACAGGAAUUGCAACUGUGAGAGCGGGAUAUUAUUAUUAUUAUUAUUUUUUUGCUUUUUAAGUGUGUGGGGGGGUUCAGUCAGUCAUUUUUUAGUUUGUUUCGCCGGGAGUUCAAUUUAUGUGAGCACAUUUUGUUUAAUUUGUGUUGCUUUUUCUCAAAGAGAAGGACUGCAUUUUUUUUAGAAGUGUGGAGGUCGUUAAAAACAAAGUCAAACUGUCUUGAGAAAAAGACGAAGAUCAACCAUGGAGAACGCUCACACAAAGACUGUGGACGAAGUUUAUAACAAUUUCAAUGUAAAUGAAAGCACGGGGCUGAGUCUGGACCAGGUGAAAAAGCUGAGAGAAAAAUGGGGACCGAAUGAGUUACCAGCAGAGGAAGGAAAAUCUGUGUGGGAACUCGUGCGUGAACAGUUUGAAGACUUAUUAGUCAGAAUUCUCCUGUUGGCAGCUUGUAUAUCUUUUGUAUUGGCCUGGUUUGAGGAGGGGGAAGAAACGAUCACAGCCUUCGUGGAGCCUUUCGUAAUCUUACUUAUUCUAAUAGCCAAUGCCAUCGUGGGUGUGUGGCAGGAAAGAAAUGCUGAAAAUGCUAUUGAAGCCCUCAAAGAAUAUGAGCCUGAGAUGGGAAAGGUUUACCGUCAGGACAGGAAAAGUGUCCAGAGGAUCAAGGCCAAAGAUCUUGUCCCCGGAGAUAUUGUGGAAGUAGCCGUUGGAGACAAGGUUCCUGCUGAUAUCAGACUGUCUUCAAUCAAAUCCACAACCCUGAGAGUGGAUCAAUCUAUCUUGACAGGUGAGUCUGUAUCUGUCAUCAAGCACACUGACCCAGUGCCUGACCCCCGCGCUGUGAACCAGGACAAGAAAAACAUGCUUUUCUGUGGUACCAACAUUGCCGCUGGCAAAGCUGUGGGUGUGGUGAUUGCCACCGGUGUUAACACGGAGAUUGGUAAGAUCCGUGAUGAGAUGGCGGCGACGGAGCAGGAGAGGACUCCCCUGCAGCAGAAGCUGGACGAGUUCGGAGAGCAACUGUCCAAAGUGAUCACUCUGAUCUGCAUUGCCGUCUGGAUCAUCAACAUAGGGCACUUCAACGACCCCGUGCACGGGGGCUCCUGGAUCCGCGGUGCUGUCUACUACUUCAAGAUCGCCGUGGCCCUGGCCGUGGCUGCCAUCCCCGAGGGGCUGCCCGCCGUCAUCACCACCUGCCUGGCCCUGGGCACCCGCAGGAUGGCCAAGAAGAACGCCAUCGUCCGGAGCCUGCCCUCCGUCGAGACCCUGGGCUGCACCUCCGUCAUCUGCUCUGACAAGACCGGCACGCUCACCACCAACCAGAUGUCUGUCUGCAAGAUGUUCAUUGUUGACAAAGCCGAGGGAGACAGCUGCAAACUGAACGAGUUCAAUAUCACUGGCUCUACAUACGCACCUGAAGGAGAUGUGUUUAAAGAUGGAAAAUCUGUCAAAAGCUCCCAGUACGAUGGCCUGGUGGAACUGGCAACCAUCUGUGCACUGUGCAAUGAUUCCUCUCUGGAUUUCAAUGAGGCGAAGGGAGUGUUUGAAAAGGUUGGAGAGGCCACCGAGACUGCCCUCACCUGUUUAGUGGAGAAGAUGAAUGUGUUCGAUACAGAACUGAAGGGACUGUCCAAGGUUGAACGUGCCAAUGCCUGCAACUCUGUUAUUAAACAGCUGAUGAAGAAGGAGUUCACCUUGGAGUUCUCCCGCGACAGGAAGUCCAUGUCUGUCUUCUGCACCCCGAACAAGGCCCGCACCACCACCAUGCACAAGAUGUUUGUCAAGGGAGCCCCAGAGGGGGUGAUUGAAAGAUGCACACACGUCAGAGUUGGAGGCAGUAAGCUUCCCCUGACACCUGGCAUUAAAGAGAAGAUCAUGACUGUGAUCAAGGAGUGGGGUACCGGCAGAGACACGCUGCGCUGCCUGGCUCUCGCCACUCGAGACAAUCCACCAAGGAAAGAGGACCUUGUGCUGGAGGACUGUACACGCUUCGCUGGGUACGAGAGUGACCUGACCUUUGUGGGUUGUGUGGGUAUGCUGGAUCCCCCAAGAACAGAGGUCGCUGCCUCCAUUAGGCUCUGCAGACUGGCUGGCAUCCGCGUCAUCAUGAUCACCGGAGACAACAAGGGUACGGCUGUGGCAAUCUGCAGGCGCAUCGGCAUCUUCGGUGAGGAUGAAGACGUGACUGACAGGGCGUUCACAGGCCGAGAGUUUGACGAUCUCUCCCCAAGUGCGCAGGGAGAAGCAGUCAAGAAUGCACGCUGCUUCGCCCGAGUCGAGCCCUCGCACAAGUCCAAGAUCGUAGAGUUCCUGCAGUCUUUCGAUGAGAUCACUGCCAUGACUGGCGAUGGUGUGAAUGAUGCCCCUGCCCUGAAGAAGGCUGAGAUCGGUAUUGCAAUGGGCUCGGGCACAGCUGUGGCAAAGUCCGCCUCGGAGAUGGUUCUGGCAGACGACAACUUUUCCACCAUUGUAGCUGCAGUGGAGGAGGGCCGCGCCAUCUAUAACAACAUGAAGCAAUUCAUCCGCUACCUCAUCUCCUCCAACGUGGGAGAGGUCGUCUGUAUUUUCCUCACUGCUGCUCUGGGCUUCCCCGAGGCCCUGAUCCCUGUUCAGCUGCUCUGGGUAAACCUGGUCACUGAUGGACUGCCGGCCACAGCCCUGGGCUUCAACCCCCCUGACCUGGACAUCAUGGACAAGCCUCCCCGCAACGCCCGUGAGCCCCUCAUCAGCGGCUGGCUCUUCUUUAGAUACAUGGCCAUUGGAUGUUAUGUGGGAGCUGCCACAGUUGGUGCUGCAGCCUGGUGGUUUAUUGCUGCUGAAGAUGGACCCCGAGUCACCUUCUACCAGCUGAGCCACUUCUUGCAGUGCAGUCCUGACAAUCCAGAUUUCCAAGAUGUAGAGUGUGAAAUCUUUGAGUCUCCCUACCCAAUGACCAUGGCUCUGUCUGUGCUGGUGACCAUUGAGAUGUGCAAUGCACUGAACAGCUUGUCUGAGAACCAGUCCCUGAUCAGGAUGCCUCCUUGGGAGAAUGUUUGGCUUCUGGGAUCCAUCUGCCUGUCAAUGUCCCUGCAUUUCCUUAUCCUCCAUGUUGAGCCACUGCCAAUCAUUUUCCAGAUCACCCCCUUAAACGUCCUUCAGUGGAUGAUGGUGCUAAAGAUCUCCCUCCCAGUAAUCCUCCUGGACGAAAUGCUCAAAUUCACGGCCCGCAACUACCUGGAGCCUGGUAAAGAGUUUGACAAGCCCGUGGGCGGCAAGUGUGGUUUCUCCGCAUGCACAGAGGGGAUCUCGUGGCCGUUUGUGCUGGUCUCUGCACCCUUGAUAGUCUGGCUGUACAGUAUAGACACUAACAUUUCCAUGUUCUGGUCUUGACUGACAUUGAUUGGUUUGGGUAAAUAAAAAUAAAACAUUGCUAAAAAGAAAAGUAACAACCAUUAACUUGUAAGUGUACCCAAAGUUGUACCGUUUUAAACAGCUGUCUGAAUCUGCUGGAUGUUUUUUUUUUUUUUUUUUUUUUUUUUUUUUUUUAAAGCAUCAGUUUUCAAGUUUUUUUUUUGUCUUUGUACAUGGUGUGGUUUUUUUAUUUUUGUUGGAGGUUUUCCUCCCCCCGCCCCCCCCCCCCAAAUGAGAAUAAAGAAAUGUCCAUUGACAUGUACAGAGAUUUAACACUAUUUUAUGCAAAUAUUGUUUUUGUAGAUUUGAAAGAAGUAGAAAAAAAAAAAAAGCAUGUACAGCAUUCUGUUUUAUCAUAUUUUGUGUUGUACAAAUUCAGGAGCCAGUGGACAUUGCUGUUUAGAGAUUAAUUUGCAAGAACGUUUUUUUAAAGUGAAUGUUGACUUAAAACAAAACUGCAUGUACUGUGUUCCUGCAUGAACUGGUGGGGUUUCCUGUUCAUUUUGAUGACCUUUUCCAUGCUUGUUUUAUUUUAUCUGCUUGUUUUGUAUUUCAAAGCCAGUUUUUCUGCAUCAGGCAGAGCACAGCUACCUCAAUCAAUAUUGCUUUAGUCUGUACCCUACUGUUUUUAAUCUCAUGUUUACAUCCCCAGUGAUGUUUUGAGGUAUGCCCAUACUUGCUUGUGCAGAAAAAAAAAUGUUCUCCCCAUUGAUUCAACAAGUUUGUUUUUUUCCAUACAAUUUUUAAAAAUAUUUAUUUGUCUAUUUGUAUUUUAUCUGAAUAGUCAUAUAUGGAUUUUGUUUUUCAUUAAACUUUUUUUUGAGGGGCAGUGUUACCCUUUUCUUUAUAACAUGGGGGUUAAUUCAGACUAGUUUAAAAAAAUACAAUGAAAUAAAUUGUUUUUAAAUUAACCUGAAGUUAAAACUAAUACAAUCUCCUGAUUUUUAAUUGUUUUUGUGUUUUUCUAUUUUAUUUAAAACUACAUUUGAACAUAUCGUUAGGUUUUUGUCUUAAUUUAUAAGCACUAAGACAUUAUCAUUGUGAUCAUUUCUAUACAAAGCAUUUAUAUGUGCAGUGAAUAUCGUGGAUGAUUGUUAAUAGUUUGCUACCUGAGCACAAGAAAGCCAAUGGUUUGGUCCAUGUUCAUUUCGCACAAUCUCUGGAAAUUCCUUAGCCUACACAGGUCCUGCAUACAAGGAAAGGGGCUGAAGGAGUCUGUAAAUUUGUAUAUACCACAUAACCAAAAACGUAACGAUGUAUAGUAGAAGGACCAGUUUUAAGGUUUAACGUACUAUCACACUAAUUUGUAGAUGUCACAGGAAUAUAAUCGACAAUAGCGUAGUAACCCUCUGGAGCAUGUUUUCCGCACUACCAGACCAGUAUUGCUGUGUUUUAUAUUCACAAGCCUAACUGCUGUUUUCCUCCAAUGCCUUCCAACGUCCAACUAAACAAGAGACGGGUAAUCCCCUCUUCUCGUAAACAUUUGUUUCAGUGUGCAUGUGUGUUUUUAGCAGCACAUCUACUAAGACAGCUGCAUGUAUAAUGUGCAAACAGAAAAAGAUUUUAAAAAAGAAAAAAACAGGUGUGCUAAUAUAUAGGGCUUAUGAAGAAGCAGCAGCAGCAGCAGAAACUGCAAUGCAUCCAGAACAACUAGGGCAACGCACAAGAGAAACCUGCGGUACUAUUGCUGCAUGGAAGACCAGCCUUCCUUACCCUUGAUCCUUAACACACAGGCAAGGAGCUGUCACACCAACUUCUCCACACUUCACAAUGUGUAAAAUGUCGUAGUUUAUAUAAAUGUAUAAUAUAAUUUACUGUAAUGCAUGUCUCCAGUUGUAAGUAGCCAAAACUGUAUUUUAUCAACUAAAAAUUUCUUUAUAAACAGCUAUGUACAAUAUUGCUAUAUAUUCUAUAUCUAUAUAUAAAUCCAUGAAAAAAACAACAGAUGUUUAGUGUUAAAAACUGUAAACCUUCAGUCCAUGAUUUCACAACCAGAUAUUUUUCCUAAGGAAAGCUUUUCUUUCAGUGUUUAUUUAUUUAUUUUUUUGGGUGUGCAAAAUAAUGGAAUAGAAAUUACUUUUUUGCACUGUAAUAACGUAACUUAAAGAGUAUAACUCAGUAGUUUGGCAGACAUUGGUGCGUUAUAGAAUUAUGAUGCAUACAUUGUGAAACAAUCUGUGGGUAAGGUUAGCAGCAUGUUUUGGCUAUGUAGACUACUGUAAAUAAGAUCAAGCGUUUAUUUCAGCUCUGAUGAUUGUAACAUGCAUCACAUGAAAUUCAUGGUUUCAGGUAAAUAAAACUAUUAUACGAGA